ensembl:lncRNA novel transcript, antisense to KCTD11
UUUGUGGUUCCAAAAGCAGUUUUAUUUUUCUUCUUGUAAAUCAUGACCAGUGAGAAAUAAUGUGUGCCCCACCCCCCACCAGUGAAGAAGCUGUGCGUGAGUAUCCCACCCGCUCUGGGACCCAGAAAUCCCAUCCCUUCCCAUCUCCUCCCCCACUGUCCCAAACUCUUCGUCUCCUCUCUCUGCCCUGGGCGGCCUUGGGCCUUCCCCAGCUAUCUCCUAGCAACAGGUCCAUGGUUGCCUCAGCAACCAAGAGUUCCAUACAGGCCUCAGAGGAGAAAUUUUGGGAAGUACAGGAGACACCGAAAGAAAAGAAAAGGCAGAACUUCCUGGGUGUGUGCAGAAUUGGGUCGAAGCUGUCAGAUUCGCUGGGUUGGAGGCACAGGUGGAGCACACCCAGUAAGGUUUGGGGCUCACCCCG